CAAUAGCGUAUAUUAAAGUUGUUGCAGUUAAAAAGCUCGUAGUUGGAUUUGUGGCGUACGGUGUGUUCCGGGCACUUGUUGUCUGAGUAACCUGCUGUUGCCAUCCUUGGGUGGAACCUGUGUGGCAUUAGGUUGUCGUGCAGGGGAUGCCCAUCAUUUACUGUGAAAAAAUUAGAGUGUUCAAAGCAGGCUUAUGCCGUUGAAUAUAUUAGCAUGGAAUAAUGAGAUAGGACUUUUUUGCUAUUUUGUUGGUUUGCGCAAGAAGGUAAUGAUUAAUAGGGACAGUUGGGGGUAUUCGUAUUCCAUUGUCGGAGGUGAAAUUCUUGGAUUUUUGGAAGACGAACUACUGCGAAAGCAUUUACCAAGGAUGUUUUCAUUAA
rnacentral:rRNA from 1 species